rnacentral:rRNA from 1 species
UACGUAGGGGGCAAGCGUUACUCGGAAUUACUGGGCGUAAAGCGUGCGCAGGCGGCGCGUUAAGACAGGUGUGAAAGCCCCGAGCUUAACUUGGGAAUUGCGCUUGUGACUGGCGUGCUGGAGUGUGGCAGAGGGAGGUGGAAUUCCACGUGUAGCAGUGAAAUGCGUAGAGAUGUGGAGGAACACCGAUGGCGAAGGCAGCCUCCUGGGCCAGCACUGACGCUCAUGCACGAAAGCGUGGGGAGCAAACAGG